UACGUAGGUGGCGAGCGUUAUCCGGAAUGAUUGGGCGUAAAGGGAGCGUAGACGGCUGAGCAAGUCAGAAGUGAAAGCCCGGGGCUCAACCCCGGGACUGCUUUUGAAACUGCGGAGCUGGAGUGCAGGAGAGGUAAGCGGAAUUCCUGGUGUAGCGGUGAAAUGCAUAGAUAUCACGCAGAACUCCGAUUGCGAAGGCAGCAUACCGGCGCCCAACUGACGCUCAGGCACGAAAGCGUGGGUAUCGAACAGG
rnacentral:rRNA from 1 species